rnacentral:rRNA from 1 species
ACGCUCGACACCUACGGGAGGCAGCAGUGGGGAAUAUUGCACAAUGGGGGAAACCCUGAUGCAGCGACGCCGCGUGGAGGAAGAAGGUCUUCGGAUUGUAAACUCCUGUUGUUAGGGGAAAAAGAGGAUGGUACCCAACAAGGAAGUGACGGCUAACUACGUGGCAGCAGCCGCGGUAAUCUGAGGCGGGCUGGCAAGGC